rnacentral:rRNA from 1 species
GUGGGGAAUAUUGGACAAUGGGCGAAAGCCUGAUCCAGCCAUGCCGCGUGUGUGAAGAAGGUCUUCGGAUUGUAAAGCACUUUAAGUUGGGAGGAAGGGCAGUAAGUUAAUACCUUGCUGUUUUGAUGUUACCGACAGAAUAAGCACCGGCUAACUUCGUGCCAGCAGCCGCGGUAAUACGAAGGGUGCAAGCGUUAAUCGGAAUUACUGGGCGUAAAGCGCGCGUAGGUGGUUUUGUAAGUUGGAGGUGAAAUCCCCGGGCUCAACCUGGGAACUGGCUCCAAAACUGCAUGACUAGAGUACGGUAGAAGGUAGUGGAAUUUCCUGUGUAGCGGUGAAAUGCGUAGAUAUAGGAAGGAACACCAGUGGCGAAGGCGACUACCUAGACUGAUACUGACACUGAGGUGCGAAAGCGUGGGGAGCAAACAGGAUUAGAAACCCUAGUAGUCC